rnacentral:rRNA from 1 species
CAGGUCUUGACAUCCCUUGACAACUCCAGAGAUGGAGCGUUCCCUUCGGGGACAAGGUGACAGGUGGUGCAUGGUUGUCGUCAGCUCGUGUCGUGAGAUGUUGGGUUAAGUCCCGCAACGAGCGCAACCCUUAUUACUAGUUGCCAGCAUUCAGUUGGGCACUCUAGUGAGACUGCCGGUGACAAACCGGAGGAAGGUGGGGAUGACGUCAAAUCAUCAUGCCCCUUAUGACCUGGGCUACACACGUGCUACAAUGGCGUAUACAACGAGUUGCCAACCCGCGAGGGUGAGCUAAUCUCUUAAAGUACGUCUCAGUUCGGAUUGUAGGCUGCAACUCGCCUACAUGAAGUCGGAAUCGCUAGUAAUCGCGGAUCAGCACGCCGCGGUGAAUACGUUCCC